rnacentral:rRNA from 1 species
GCGAGUGAAGCGGCAACAGCUCAAAUUUGAAAGCUGGCCUUCGGGUCCGCAUUGUAAUUUGUAGAGGAUGCUUUGGGUGAAACGCCAGUCUAAGUUCCUUGGAACAGGACGUCAUAGAGGGUGAGAAUCCCGUAUGUGACUGGAAAUGUUAACCUAUGUAAAGCUCCUUCGACGAGUCGAGUUGUUUGGGAAUGCAGCUCUAAAUGGGAGGUAAAUUUCUUCUAAAGCUAAAUAUUGGCGAGAGACCGAUAGCGCACAAGUAGAGUGAUCGAAAGAUGAAAAGCACUUUGGAAAGAGAGUUAAAAAGCACGUGAAAUUGUUGAAAGGGAAGCGCUUGCAAUCAGACUUGUUUAAACUGUUCGGCCGGUCUUCUGACCGGUUUACUCAGUUUGGACAGGCCAGCAUCAGUUUCGGCGGCCGGAUAAAGGCUCUGGGAAUGUGGCCUUCACUUCGGUGAAGGUGUUAUAGCCCAGGGUGUAAUACGGCCAGCCGGGACUGAGGUCCGCGCUUCGGCUAGGAUGCUGGCGUAAUGGUUGUAAGCGACCCGU